rnacentral:rRNA from 1 species
GACGAACCGUGCGAACGUUAUUCGGAUUCACUGGGCUUAAAGGGCGCGUAGGCGGGCUCGCCAGUCCGGGGUGAAAUCUUUCGGCUUAACCGGAAAAGUGCCUCGGAUACUGCGAGCCUUGAGGGAGGUAGGGGCAUGUGGAACUUCCGGUGGAGCGGUGAAAUGCGCAGAUAUCGGGAAGAACACCCGUGGCGAAGGCGGCUCUCUGGGACGGUACUGACGCUGAGACGCGAAAGCGUGGGGAGCGAACAGG